rnacentral:rRNA from 1 species
GAUGAACGCUAGCGAUAGGCCUAACACAUGCAAGUCGAGGGGCAUCACAUGAAGUAGCAAUACGGAUGGUGGCGACCGGCGCACGGGUGAGUAACACGUAUGCAACCUGCCUUCAACAAGGGGAUAACCCGUUGAAAGACGGACUAAUACCCUAUAACACAGGGGUCCCGCAUGGGAAUAUUUGUUAAAGGACAACCGGUUGAAGAUGGGCAUGCGUUCCAUUAGCUAGUUGCGGGGUAACGGCCCACCAAGGCAACGAUGGAUAGGGGAACUGAGAGGUUUAUCCCCCACACUGGUACUGAGACACGGACCAGACUCCUACGGGAGGCAGCAGUGAGGAAUAUUGGUCAAUGGACGCAAGUCUGAACCAGCCACGUCGCGUGAAGGAAGACGGCCCUA